rnacentral:lncRNA from 1 species
AUUAGAUUAGAGCUUUCGCGCCGGUCGCUGACGCGAUAGGCUUCCAUUCAGGUCUCGAAUCUAUAUGCUUAAAACUUCGCUAACUCACAUUAACGCCCUGUCUCGGGGUCAGAACGAUGCGGAAGAACUUCUAUUCUGGCGAUCAGAGACGCCGAAAGUCUUAUGUUCCGUGGACUGUGGGGCAUGUUUUACUGAGUGUUGUGGUUCGAUACACACUCCAGGAAGAACA